CCCCUAGAUGUUCUGAGCCGCACGCGCGCUACACUGAACAGUUCAACAAGUCUUAACCUUGGCCGAUAGGUCUGGGUAAUCUUUGAACGCUGUUCGUGAUUGGGAUAGACCUUUGCAAUUAUGGGUCUUCAACGAGGAAUUCCUAGUAAACGCAAGUCAUCAGCUUGCAUUGAUUACGUCCCUGCCCUUUGUACACACCGCCCGUCGCACCUACCGAUUGAAUGGUCCGGUGAAAUCUCGGGACGGCGGCUUGGUCGCUUGCGUCCGACUGCUGAAACUUGAUUAAACCAUAUCAUUUAGAGGAAGGUGAANUCGUAACA
rnacentral:rRNA from 1 species